rnacentral:rRNA from 1 species
AACGAACGCUGGCGGCGUGGAUUAGGCAUGCAAGUGGAGCGACGAGCCAGGGCUUGCCCUGGGGCAGAGCCGCGAACGGGUGAGUAACACGUGGGUAACGUGCCCCAAUGAUCGGGACAACCCGGGGAAACCCGGGCUAAUACCGAAUGUGCUCCCCUCACACCAGUGAGGGAUGGAAAGGAAGCUUCGGCCUCCGCAUUGGGAUCGGCCCGCGGCCCAUUAGCUUGUUGGUGAGGUAACGGCUCACCAAGGCUGCGAUGGGUAGCUGGUCUGAGAGGACGAUCAGCCACACUGGGACUGAGACACGGCCCAGACUCCUACGGGAGGCAGCAGUGGGGAAUCUUGCGCAAUGCGCGAAAGCGUGACGCAGCAACGCCGCGUGGGGGAAGAAGGCCUUCGGGUUGUAAACCCCUUUCAGGAGGGACGAAGCGUGGGCGGUUAAUAGCCGAUCCACGUGACGGUACCUCCAGAAGAAGCCCCGGCUAACUACGUGCCAGCAGCCGCCGCCGUAA